CCAUAUCCCAUGCCAUAACAUACUUCUUUAGAAUUCCAUACUGAAUCUCCUCAACUCUAUGGAAUGUAAAGAAGUAUGUAUUGAAACUGGGACCUC